GGACUAACCUCUUAUUGUUUUUGUAUCGAUAGAGGAUCAAGCCGCCCGAAUCCUCUAUAAAGAUCAAGGAUAUAGUCGAUGGAGACCAAGAUAGUCGUCCAUAAUAGAUCCUUUUCCCGACUUGCUUGUGUCUUUUGCCAACUUAUGCAAGCCAUCUUUAUCAAAAGGACCAAGUCUCUACCACUUGCCUCGCCUAAACCAUCGAC
rnacentral:lncRNA from 1 species